rnacentral:rRNA from 1 species
AUUGAACGCUGGCGGCAGGCUUAACACAUGCAAGUCGAGCGGGGUGAUGGUGCUUGCACUAUCACUUAGCGGCGGACGGGUGAGUAAUGCUUAGGAAUCUGCCUAUUAGUGGGGGACAACAUCUCGAAAGGGAUGCUAAUACCGCAUACGUCCUACGGGAGAAAGCAGGGGAUCACUUGUGACCUUGCGCUAAUAGAUGAGCCUAAGUCGGAUUAGCUAGUUGGUGGGGUAAAGGCCUACCAAGGCGACGAUCUGUAGCGGGUCUGAGAGGAUGAUACGCCAAACUGGGACUGGGACACGGCCCAGACUCCGACGGGAGGCAGCAGUGGGGAAUAUUGGACAAUGGGGGGAACCCUGAUCCAGCCAUGCCGCGUGUGGGAAGAAGGCCUUAUGGUUGUAAAGCACUUUAAGCGAGGAGGAGGCUCUUUUGGUUAAUACCCAAGAUGAGUGGACGUUACUCGCAGAAUAAGCACCGGCUAACCCUGUGCCAGCAGCCGCCGUAA